rnacentral:rRNA from 1 species
UAACACAUGCAAGUCGAGGGGCAGCGGGGAUAAGCUUGCUUAUCCGCCGGCGACCGGCGCACGGGUGCGCAACGCGUAUAGAAUCUGCCUUGUACUGGGGAAUAGCCCAGAGAAAUUUGGAUUAACGCCCCAUAGUAUGUAGGAGUGGCAUCACUUUUACAUUAAAGGCUACGGUACAAGAUGACUAUGCGUCCCCAUUAGUUAGUUGGUAAGGUAACGGCUUACCAAGGCAGCGAUGGGUAGGGGCCCUGAGAGGGGGAUCCCCCACACUGGUACUGAGACACGGACCAGACUCCUACGGGAGGCAGCAGUGAGGAAUAUUGGACAAUGGGCGGGAGCCUGAUCCAGCCAUGCCGCGUGCAGGAAGACGGUCCUAUGGAUUGUAAACUGCUUUUAUACGGGAAGAACAAGGGGCACGUGUGCCCUUCUGACGGUACCGUAAGAAUAAGGAUCGGCUAACUCCGUGCCAGCAGCCGCGGUAAUACGGAGGAUCCAAGCGUUAUCCGGAAUCAUUGAGUUUAAAGGGUCCGUAGGCGGGCCAUUAAGUCAGGGGUGAAAGUCUGCAGCUCAACUGUAGAAUUGCCCUUGAUACUGGUGGUCUUGAGUUAUAGUGAAGUAACUAGAAUAUGUAGUGUAGCGGUGAAAUGCAUAGAUAUUACAUAGAAUACCGAUUGCGAAGGCAGGUUACUAACUAUAUACUGACGCUGAUGGACGAAAGCGUGGGGAGCGAACAGGAUUAGAUACCCUGGUAGUCCACGCCGUAAACGAUGGAUACUAGCUGUCCGGAUGCAAAUCUGGGCGGCCAAGCGAAAGUGAUAAGUAUCCCACCUGGGGAGUACGUCCGCAAGGAUGAAACUCAAAGGAAUUGACGGGGGCCCGCACAAGCGGUGGAGCAUGUGGUUUAAUUCGAUGAUACGCGAGGAACCUUACCAGGGCUUAAAUGUGGUCUGACAGCUUUAGAGAUAGAGUUUCCUUCGGGCAGAUCACAAGGUGCUGCAUGGUUGUCGUCAGCUCGUGCCGUGAGGUGUCAGGUUAAGUCCUAUAACGAGCGCAACCCCUGCCGUUAGUUGCCAGCAUGUAAAGAUGGGGACUCUAACGGGACUGCCGGUGCAAACCGCGAGGAAGGUGGGGAUGACGUCAAAUCAUCACGGCCCUUACGUCCUGGGCCACACACGUGCUACAAUGGCCGGUACAGAGAGCAGCCACUGGGCAACCAGGAGCGAAUCUAUAAAACCGGUCACAGUUCGGAUCGGGGUCUGCAACUCGACCCCGUGAAGCUGGAAUCGCUAGUAAUCGGAUAUCAGCCAUGAUCCGGUGAAUACGUUCCCGGGCCUCGUACACACCGCCCGUCAAGCCAUGGAAGCCGGGAGUGCCUGAAGUCCGUCACCGCAAGGAGCGGCCUAGGGCAAGAUCGGUAACUAGGGCU